UACGUAGGGUGCGAGCGUUAAUCGGAAUUACUGGGCGUAAAGCGUGCGCAGGCGGUUCGUUGUGUCGGUGGUGAAAUCCCCGGGCUUAACCUGGGAAUGGCCAUGGAAACUGGCGAACUGGAGUGCGGCAGAGGGGGGUGGAAUUCCGCGUGUAGCAGUGAAAUGCGUAGAGAAUGCGGAGGAACACCGAUGGCGAAGGCAGCCCCCUGGGCUA
rnacentral:rRNA from 1 species